rfam:Homo sapiens chromosome 18, GRCh38 reference primary assembly.
GCUGGGCAUAAUGGUACAUGCCUGUAGUCCUAACUAUCUGGGAGGCUGAGGUAGGAGGAUCACUUGAGCCCAGGAGUUUAGAGGCUGCAGUGAGCUACGAUUGUGCCACUGCACUCCAGCCUGGGCAACAGAGUGAGACCCUAUCUCAA